UUAAACUUCAGUAGUUCGUCACGUCUCUAAAAAUACCACUCCAGAAAAAUAUCAAACUCCCACCUUUAACACUGUCACAUCCACAAAGAAAGCAUACUGGCUACAAAUCAGAGGAAGGACAUAAAAAAGAAGAAAGUCAAGGUGCUUUUUCUGUUCAACUGUGGCAAAAAAGUUGCGCCGGACAGGAAGCAGUUACGUAUAUGCAGUCCCACAGAGAAAGCCCCAUUUCCUGAAGAACCUGGAGAACUACGUGGAUCAGGAGCUUUCAGCUAUCAGCCCCUGUGAACCAAAAUAUCAAGAACUGAAGCUUCAUGUUUUGGGUUUAAUGCACAAUCACAUAUUGUCCCCCCGAGUCCAUAACAAAGGCUGUACUCAUCAUCUGCUUUGACCACAGGUCUACAGAAAUGUCUUCAGUUGUUUCAUCAAAGAGUUCAAAACUUACCAGCCCAUUCUCUCUGCCAUCAAACAGGAAUAUGAAUACA